GCAUGGGUUUGGAUUUAUGCCAGGCCCGUCCCCUGGGCCUCUAGCAUAGUAUCCCAUGCCAGAGCAUACUCCGACCCUAAACCAUUGCCUGGCCUCUGUGCCUGUAGACUCCUAGUGUUGAAGCAGGUUGCACAGUG
ensembl:snoRNA